CCUCACGUUCACCGAAGUUAAGCAAUGUCGAGCCUGAUCAGUCCUUGAAUGGGAGACCACUUGGGAAUACCAGGUGCUGUAA